rnacentral:rRNA from 1 species
UACAGAGGGGGCAAGCGUUGUUCGGAAUUACUGGGCGUAAAGGGCGCGUAGGCGGCCUGCUAAGUCGAACGUGAAAUCCCUGGGCUCAACCCAGGAACUGCGUCCGAUACUGGUUGGCUUGAAUCCGGGAGAGGGAUGUGGAAUUCCUGGUGUAGCGGUGAAAUGCGCAGAUAUCAGGAAGAACACCCGUGGCUAAGGCGGUUCUCUAGUACGGUACUGACGCUGAGACGCGAAAGCGUGGGGAGCGAACAGG